rnacentral:lncRNA from 1 species
UACAGGAUUGAGGCUUGACCCGAGCCGAGUUGCAUUAGGUUGAGCAUUCGAUGACAUAGGAACAACCGGGGGCUUGCUCUCAUUCACCUGAAAGUUGUCAGAUAGCAUUGUGAGAGAUUGAGGAAAUGUGUUCUGAUACUUGCAGAGGUACUGGUGUCUGUUUCGAGCAUUCCUGUCUGUAAAUCCUUGGCGAAAAUCAUGGUGUGGGCACUUUGCAUUAUCGCAGGUGUAAACGCGCUGGUUCAGCAUCAGUUGUGGCUCAGCAGCAGUUCUCUUUUGGAUGAAAUCACAGUUGAUCUCUUCUUUCAUUGGCACGGAGAUGACAAACUUCUCGUUCCCCAUGGUUGCACUCAGGCUAAAAGUAUUUCCAUCAGCAGCAGGAUUCUGAAUUACUGCAUCCUCGCUCUUGCCUUCAUCAGCACCUUCUAUAUCAUAAUCGCUGCAGCUGCUGUUGAAGGAGAUGGCACUCCCGGAGGAUGGGGGAGGGCAAGUAUUCGGGUGCAGCUUCAAAUACACAUCCUCUUCCUGCUUCACAACAGCAAGC